rnacentral:misc_RNA from 1 species
GAUGAAGAACGCAGCGAAAUGCGAUAAGUAGUGUGAAUUGCAGAAUUCAGUGAAUCAUCGAAUCUUUGAACGCACAUUGCGGCCAUAGGUAUUCCUUUGGCCAUGCCUGUUCGAGCGUCAUUUACACCCUCAAGCCUAGCUUGGUGUUGGGCGCCUGUCCCGCCGUUUUCGCGCGCGGACUCGCCUCAAAGUCAUUGGCGGCGGUCGUGCCGGCCCCCUCGCGCAGCACAUUUGCGCUUCUCGGAGGCCCGGCGGAUCCGCGCUCCAGCAAGACCUUUCACGACUUGACCUCGGAUCAGGUAGGGAUACCCGCUGAACUUAAGCAUAUCAAUAAGCGGGGA